GCGGGGCCAGCGUCUACCAUAGGGUUCGACCCGGCCACAGGCUGCUUCAGCCUGACGCAGAGCUCCGGUGGCGCGUGCCGGCCGUUCGGGCUCCUGUUCCCGAGCACGUCCAACGGCUCGCCCGAUGCCGCGGGGCAGGCGCGCUGUUCAUCGAAGCGAUCGUACGCGGCGCGCGUUCAGGACCAGGACGCGGAGCAGCGGGCCACCAAGAAGCGGUGCGGUGCGAGCAGGAAGACGAGCAAGGCGAAGCCGGCGGCGCCCACCACCACCUCGCCCAAGGGAGACCCGCAAAGCCUCACCGCAAAGAACCGGCGGGAGAAGAUCAGCGAACGGCUCCGGACACUGCAGGAGCUGGUGCCCAACGGCACCAAGGUCGACAUGGUCACCAUGCUCGAGAAGGCAUUCAGCUACGUCCAGUUCCUGCAGCUGCAAGUCAAGGUGCUGGCGACGGACGAGUUCUGGCCGGCGCAAGGGGGAACGGCGCCGGAGAUCUCCCAGGUGAAGGAGGCGCUGGACGCCAUCUUGUCGUCGCAGAGGGGCAACUGA
rnacentral:rRNA from 1 species